rnacentral:rRNA from 1 species
AACGAACGCUGGCGGCAUGCCUAACACAUGCAAGUCGAACGAACCCUUCGGGGUUAGUGGCGCACGGGUGCGUAACGCGUGGGGAUCUGCCCUUUGCUUCGGAAUAACAGUUAGAAAUGACUGCUAAUACCGGAUGAUGUCGCAAGACCAAAGAUUUAUCGGCAAAGGAUGAACCCGCGUAGGAUUAGCUAGUUGGUGAGGUAAAGGCUCACCAAGGCGACGAUCCUUAGCUGGUCUGAGAGGAUGAUCAGCCACACUGGGACCGAGACACGGCCCAGACUCCUACGGGAGGCAGCAGUGGGGAAUAUUGGACAAUGGGCGAAAGCCUGAUCCAGCAAUGCCGCGUGAGUGAUGAAGGCCCUAGGGUUGUAAAGCUCUUUUACCAGGGAUGAUAAUGACAGUACCUGGAGAAUAAGCUCCGGCUAACUUCGUGCCAGCCGCCGCAGUAA